UACAGAGGUCCCGAGCGUUGUUCGGAUUCAUUGGGCGUAAAGGGUGCGUAGGUGGUGACGCAAGUCUGGUGUGAAAUCUCGGAGCUCAACUCCGAAAUUGCACCGGAUACUGCGUGACUCGAGGACUGUAGAGGAGAUCGGAAUUCACGGUGUAGCAGUGAAAUGCGUAGAUAUCGUGAGGAAGACCAGUUGCGAAGGCGGAUCUCUGGGCAGUUCCUGACACUGAGGCACGAAGGCCAGGGGAGCAAACGGG
rnacentral:rRNA from 1 species